CCUACGGGAGGCAGCAGUGAGGAAUAUUGGUCAAUGGGCUUACGCCUGAACCAGCCAAGUCGCGUGAGGGAAGACUGCCCUAUGGGUUGUAAACCUCUUUUGUCAGGGAGCAACGCCGGCUACGUGUAGCCGGACUGAGAGUACCUGAAGAAAAAGCAUCGGCUAACUCCGUGCCAGCAGCCGCGGUAAUACGGAGGAUGCGAGCGGUAUCCGGAUUUAUUGGGUUUAAAGGUUGCGUAGGCGGAAUGCCAAGUCAGCGGGAAAAUCGCGGGGCUAAACCUCGCUCCGCAGUUGAAACUGGCGUUCUUGAGUGGGCGAGAAGUAUGCGGAAUGCGUGGUGUAGCGGUGAAAUGCAUAGAUAUCACGCAGAACUCCGAUUGCGAAGGCAGCAUACCGGCGCCCAACUGACGCUGAAGCACGAAAGCGUGGGUAUCGAACAGGAUUAGAUACCCCUGUAGUC
rnacentral:rRNA from 1 species